GUCAGUGAGUAGCUGCGGCCAGCUGCGCAAAACACCACCGCGCGGCGCUGCGCCACUGCACGACAUGGGCCGGCGUGACAUGCGGAACCCUUGGUCGCCCUUGUGAGGUCAGUAGUGGCAGAUCGCAGCCCGAUGGAAAAGCCAACUCGCCGACAACAGGUGCCACGGUGCCAGAAGAAAGCUAUCC